ACUAUCUUAGUAUAUUUAUUAUACUAGCUUUUCGUGCUAGAGAUGUUUCUAUGUGUAACAGAUAGUA
rnacentral:tRNA from 2 species